GUCGUGCAUCAUUUGCAAAAUGUUCAAUAUAUCUAUGUGCAAAUUAAUAAAUAAAACUAACAUCGCGAGCUUGUCCAUUCCAUGCAGGGCGCUAAGUGGAUAGUGCGGCUUCCAUAAAACAUCGAUUAAACAAAAAAUAGGAACUAGCUCAAAAAAACUUGAACAACAACCUCGUUACUCCACCCAUUAGAUAAGCCAAGCUCCUUCCACGCUGCCGCAACAUCAAUUGCUACAACCUUCUGCCCACCAGCUCCCGCAGGCUGCAACUGAACGGUAUGCACUGGUACCGCUCGACCCGAAAGCAUGACCAUAAAGCCUUUUUCUAUGGAGCGUGUGUCAAUGUCAGAAAUGUAAAUGCCUAGUGUUCCCAAUGCCUUCAGCGUAACAUCAAAUCUGAGACGACGGUUGGCCACGAGGAAAAUGUCUGAGCUCACAAUAGCAGCCACGCCAGUCAUUUUGCCUAGGAGGCCUAGGACAGCGACACUUGUGGUGGUAGUAGUGGCCUCUAUAUUUGUGGUUUUGUCCUUGUCAAGUGGAUUUGGCAUUUCGAAGCUCCGGACUGGGUAGGCGGUUAAAAUUUCCCAGUCCUUCGUCUCAAGAGAUACGGCGACCAGGGGAUCUUGGUCGGAGGGCCUUAUUAUGCGUGAGAUUCUCCCAGUGGAAUGUGCGCGGAUUAGAUAUUCAUCCUCGCUACCAGGGGAGACGCCGUGGAAAUCAAGAAUGGAGAUCAUAGAACUGAUUUUCUGAGCGCUGACGUUGAAAAGGCCCAGGAUUCCGCUGCCAGUCUUGGCCCAGCCAGUAUAGGCGCCGACUCUGAGCAUCUUACCUUCGUUGUAGUUAUGAUACACGUCAAUGGACCUUCCCAAGACACUGGGCCGGAGAAUGACGGUGUUACCUCCCACUGUUGGGGCUGUCAUCUGGUUGAUGACGUUGAUAUCAUGUUCACCCGGUACGUCAGUGAUAUAUAUCGGACCGCCGGAGACACAUCUAGCUGCCGCGUGGAAAGAUGCAUACGAGUGGCUAGUCUGAAACAUGUCCCAAUCAGGUAUGACAUUGAGAUGUUGGGUGAACAGAGCAUUAUGUGCAUUGCAAAACACGUGCCAGGGGUGAGACGAGGGAAUAUUGGGGAAGAAGUCAUCGGAAUUUCUCAAGAGCAUCCUUGGCUUGUUGGUCGGUACUUGUGAAUGGAAAAUUAUUUGCGGUGUCUGCGACAUGCAAGUGAUUGCUUUGGCCUGGAAGUAUCGCAAUGAGGCAACCGACCAAGCGUCUUGGUAUGCCGUGGUGAAUCGGACCCGAUCAGCAGGAUCCUGGAGCAAAUCGAGGAAGAAUUGGGCAUCUGUCUUCACAGAGUCAACCCCAGCCGCCAAAAGAAAUUUGUAGAAAUCGUCGUAGAACCGAUGAAUGUCAUCGGGAUCAACUGUCAACAUACUCCCUCCCGCAACGCCGUCACGUUUCUUGACAAUCUUAGUUUUGUACUCUUUCGCGAUCUGCCCGUGAGGCGAGAUACCACCCCAGUAGCCCAU
rnacentral:sRNA from 1 species